CAGUGGGGAAUAUUGGACAAUGGGGGCAACCCUGAUCCGGCCAUGCCGCGUGUGUGAAGAAGGCCUUCGGGUUGUAAAGCACUUUAAGUGGGGAGAAAGGUUCGCCGGCUAAUACCCGGCGGAAGUGAUGUUACCCACAGAAUAAGCACCGGCUAACUCUGUGCCAGCAGCCGCGGUAAUACAGAGGGUGCAAGCGUUAAUCGGAAUUACUGGGCGUAAAGCGCGCGUAGGCGGCUGUCUAAGUCGGGUGUGAAAGCCCCGGGCUCAACCUAGGAACUGCAUCCGAAACUGUCUUUCUAGAGUAGUGGAGAGGAAAGCGGAAUUCCGGGUGUAGAGGUGAAAUUCGUAGAUAUCCGGAGGAACACCAGUGGCGAAAGCAGGUUACUGGCCCAAUACUGACACUGAGCUGCGAAAGCUAGGGGAGCAAACA
rnacentral:rRNA from 1 species